GUGCUCAAUUUGGCAACACAUAUGCUAAAAUUGGAUCCAUACAGAGAAGACAAGCAAGGCCGCUGUGCAAGGAUGACACUCAAAUUCAUGAAGUAUUCCAUAUUUUU
ensembl:snRNA U6 U6 spliceosomal RNA